GAAGUGAGCAGGUCAGUGCAUCUGGCUGCUAACCAGAAGGUUGGUGGUUCAAGCCCACCCAGGAUUA
rnacentral:tRNA from 1 species